AAAAUCGGAAACCCAGGAAGCUGCCCCAAUUUGGGAGCAGAGGGGGUAGUCCCCACUCUCCUGUCUGAUCCCUCCCUCUCCUCCCCGAGUUCCACCGCCCCAGGCGCACAGGUUUCCGCCAGAUGUCUUUUCUUCUUCGCAGUCUUUGCCCGAGCGCUUCCGAGAGCCAGUUCUGGACUGAUCGCCUUGGAUGGGAUACCGGGGGAGGGCAGAAGGACACUUGGCUUCCUCUCCAGGAAUCUGAGCGGCCCUGAGGUCCGGGGGCGCAGGGAAUCCCCUCUCCCGCCGCCGCCGCCGUGUCUGGUCUGUACGUCUUUAGAGGGUCGAGGAAGUCACGUCGGGACAGACUGGGGCGAGUAAGGUUAAGAAAGGCUGACAUGUUUUAUGUUUUAGUGACGACGCUUAAUAGGCUGUAUAUCUGCUCUAUAUGCAGCACAUACAUACAUAGCUUUUUAAAAAACUCUUAUUUUGUGGAAUGAAAUAGCUACCUUCAGUGUACAUAGCUGUAAUUUAUCUUUGUAGCUAAGUUGCUUUCAACAGAAGAAAUACUGUUCUCCGUACCUUCACCCCCUCCUUGUUUCUUGGAAAGAGAGGCGGGAAAGGUAAAUUCUCCUCAUAAUACUGGUCCUAAGCAGUUACCCUGUAAAUAGUUAAUGUGAGCUCCACGGGUCACCAAUAUAAAGUUUCCUGCCUUCUGAUGGACAAAGGAAGCGGCGAUGGCCAGAAUUUGCAGGGACGCUAAAUGUCCAAAACGUAUGCCUUAAGGCAUUUCUCUCCCUGAUGCGUGGAUUAUUUUGGUUACUAGCCCUUCAUAGGAGAUACUGGU
rnacentral:lncRNA from 1 species